GUGGGAAGGACGGACAGACAGCUAAGGCCUGCGCUGGAAGCAGAAACUGAGUUCUCCUGGCCUGCAGCGAGGAGACCCGCGUCCUGCCCCCACCCCAGGAAAUUUGCAGUGACUUUGGAGCCCAGACUGAGGAAGCAGAGGUGGCGAAAGGAGAGACAAUACCAGUCCGAAGUACAAUUAAGGGGCCAGAGCUCGUCUCUCCCCCGCCCUCCCUGCCCGACUGCGCGCUGUCUGGCCUCAAACCUCACGGAGACACGCGAACCUGGAGCCGGAAACUCAGCCCGUGGCGGAGGCAGCCAGAGGACUCCGCAUCCAGAAAACAGGAGGAAAGCUCCUUUCCAACUUGGGGGCGCCUUAACCAGCCCCGCUGAGUUGCAGAGAAUCCAAUGAAUGAAAGUGCACAUUCCGACAAAUUUCCCCGAUUUUUCCCCCCAACCUUUGGAAGGAGAGCCCAGUGUUUGAGGCGUCUCAGAUACACAAGCAAACCGCAUCUCCUGAGGCAGACAGACUCACAACAUGAGUGUGAGCCUGGAAUCAUAUACAGGUUCAACAUUCCCAGAGGAGGCCUCUUUGC